GUGCCUAUGAUAUGCCAGGCCCUGGGUUAAGCACUUUUUAUAGAUAUUAUUGCAUUUGAGCUUCACAACCCGUCUGCAAGAUGUGUUUCUCGAAAUGAACAUCGUGGAAUUUUCUUUUCUUAAUCAUGUCCUGAUCACUGAUCAGUGGGGCUCCAUCAGUGCUGAGUAGUUCUGAGACUGCAUGUAACACCAGAACUCGGUGUUUGGGAGACUCGGAAGGCUUGUAAAUCCUGGACCAGCACUAUGCCAGGAAACUUAAUCUUGAAUUGUCUUAGGAAGAUUCUGAAGACAACCUGACAAGGAAUAAUAAAGUGGAGGAAUUCCAUGUGAACUGGAACGACCUCAGGAACUGAUGCUGAGUGAGAGGAGCAGAACCAGGAAAACAUUGUACACAGAGACUGAUGAUACACUGUGGUAUAAUCGAACGUAAGAACACCAUCCACAAUCAGAGGAAGAAUUGUGGGAAAAGAAACACAAAAGAAAAAUAACUCCUUGAUCACAUGAGUGGACGGGGAUAUGAUUGGGAAUAUAGAGUCUGAAUGACCACACUAGUGCAAAUAUCAAUAAUAGAAAUAGUUCUUGAUCAAUGACACAUGUAAAACCCAGUGGAAUUGUGCGUCAGCUAUGGGAGGGAGGUGGGGAUGGGGAAGGGAAAGAAUAAGAAUCUUGUAACAAUGGAAAAAUAUUCUAAAUUAAUUAAUUAAAUAAAUAAAAUUUUUAGAAAAACAAUAUCCUCUGUAUCCAAGGUUACUCAUAUUUACUGAAGACCUUCCCAAAAAUUUUACUUUGUUUUCUAGUUUUCUAGUGGCUUUUUCAAAACAAGCAAGAAAUGGGGGCGGAGUCAAGAAGGCAGAGAGAAAGUUCAAACCUCUGAAAACCCUUCCUUACCAAUUACAAAUUAAAUGCUCCCAGGGGACUGAAAAUCAAACCUAACAACAAGACAGAGCCAAGGAAUCCUCCUGCUGGACUCAAUUCAAAAGGUAUGCCCCCCCAAAAGCCAGAAUUCAAGAACAAUCGGGUUUAAGGGGAAGGAAGAAGGAAGGUCCCAGGACCCUGCACCCACCUAGAGCUCUAAGCCUCCAGCAUCAGUGGGAACCUCUGGACGGGCAAAGGCACUGGUCAGGAGGGAAUACCUUGCGGCCAGGACCGUGCCAAGCUCAGAGUAUCAAACACAGGUGGUGGGGAAGGAGCUAGAGAGGGAGCGCAGAGCUGGCAGCCAUGUCACAGCGGCUGAGUACCUUCCUAUUGCUCAACCCUUCAAGGAGGUUCUGGCCUCAGGACA